AUGGCGAAGGAGGCUGUGGACCGCGCCAGCGGGCGGCUCGAGGCAUUCACGGCUGAAUGGUCGCCCUCUCUGAGGAGGCUCAAGCUGGUCGACUGCAGCAUCACCAAUGGUGUAUUGAUGGAUCUCCUCGACUGCUGCCCUUACCUGGAAGUUCUUUACGUCAGCGACUGCUGCAAUAUCAUCAUAGAUGGCGCCCUGCUAGCCAAGUGUGGCCGGAUCAGCGCAUUGACGCUCAUCCCCUUUUACUAUGAGUGUUGUCGAUUAGCAUGGUGA
rnacentral:rRNA from 1 species